rnacentral:tRNA from 1 species
GGGGCAUAGCUCAGUUGGGAGAGCGAUGCGUUCGCAACGCAUAGGUCAAGGGUUCGAGUCCCUCUGUCUCC